CCGGAGAGGGAGCCUUAAAAACGGCUACCACAUCUAAGGAAGGCAGCAGGCACGCAAAUUACCCAAUGACCGAAGGUCGAGGUAGUGACAAAAAAUAACGAUACGGGACUCAUCUGAGGCCCCGUAAUCGGAAUGAGUACACUUUAAAACCGUCCCCGAGGAUCUAUUGGAGGGCAAGUCUGGUGCCAGCAGCCGCGGUAAUUCCAGCUCCAAUAGCGUAUAUUAAAGUUGUUGUGGUUAAAAAGCUCGUAGUUGGAUCUCGGCGGUCUGAGGGCGGUUCGCUUGAUUGAGUGCUACUGCUCUAUAGGCCGUGGUUUUGCCAGAGGUCUCGGGGUGCUCUUAACCGAGUGUCCUGCGAUGCUGGCAGGUUUACUUUGAAAAAAUUAGAGUGCUCAAAGCAGGCUUUUACGCCUGAAUAUUCGUGCAUGGAAUAAUAGAAUAGGAAGUCGUUUCUAUUUUGUUGGUUUUCGGAAAUCGACUUAAUGAUUAAUAGGGACAGUCGGGGGCAUUUGUAUUCAAACGACAGAGGUGAAAUUCUUGGACCGUUUGAAGACAAACUACUGCGAAAGCAUUUGCCAAGAAUGUUUUCAUUAAUCAAGAACGAAAGUUAGAGGUUCGAAGGCGAUUAGAUACCGCCCUAGUUCUAACCAUAAACGAUGCCAGCUAGCGAUCUGCCGACGUUUUCUUUGUAGACUCGGCAGGAAGCUUCCGGGAAACCAAAGCAUUUGGGUUCCAGGGGAAGUAUGGUUGCAAAGCUGAAACUUAAAGGAAUUGACGGAAGGGCACCACCAGGAGUGGAGCCUGUGGC
rnacentral:rRNA from 1 species